GACAGCCAGGGACUGUCUGGGUCCAGCUGGAGCUGGUUGGAGCUGGAUGGAACUCAUUGGAAUUGCUUGGAAUUGGUUGGGACAAGCCCAGGGGCAGCCAGAGCUGCUCUGGGCACCCUGUGCCAGGGCUUUCCCCUCUCCCAGCCAGGAAUUCCUUGCCAAGAUCCCAGCCCAAUCUCCCCUUUCCCACUGGGAGCCAUUCCCUGGCUCCUGUCCCUCUGUCCCUUGUCCCCAGUCCCUCUCCAGCUCUCCUGGAGCCCCUUCAGGGGCUCUGAGCAUUCCCUGGAUUUUUCGCUUCUCCAGGGGAACAUUCCCAGCUCUCCCAGCCUGGCUCCAGCCCUGGAGCAGCUCCGGGGCCUCCUCUGGGCUCUCUCCAGCAGCUCCACGUCCUCCUGCUGUUGGCCCCAGGGCUGGGGCAGCUCUGCAGUUUUUACAGAUUAUUGCCUCAAAAAGGGGCACAACCCGAGCUGGAGAAGGGCCGCUAGGACCUGACUUCUGUCCCGGUACAGAGGGUGCAGCUCAAGCUGGGUGUGCUCGGAACAGGAGGUUUAUUUACGAGUUUAUCCUGUUUUUAUUUCUCCCUGCUCCCUGAGCGUUCCCCCCUUGUUCUGCCAGGGGAGAACACAAUAAUAAAGAUGCAAAUGUGA